UUUUGAAGGUGCCAGACCAGAAGGAGGUGUCACAGCACUGGGUGUAGCAACCUGGCCACAGUCUGUUUCCUGCACCCAUUGGGUGUCAACCUCAGGCAAAGGGACUCUGCGCUUUGACUUCUUCCUCUGCAAAAUGGGAAUAAUAAUAGUGAUGAGUCCUCUAUGUAACUUUAGGAGUACAUGAAAACAGUGGCAGCUUAUACAACCUGACUGGCGUUUGAAGCACUGGAGGAGCUUCAGGAAAUAGCAGUCCCAGUCAGGGAUGCAGCUCGGGUAGAGCGCUUGCCAAGAGCGCACAAGGACCCAAUCCUCAACACUGCAGAAACAGAAACCAAACGACCCAUUAAAAAAAGCAGUCCUAACACCCAGGAAGAACAACAGUCAAGGCCAGGAAGAAGUUAGGCCAGCCACGGAAAGCUGUUAUGCAGUGCCUGGUGGAAAGGAAGCAUUCAAUGUUGCUAGAUUAUUACUGUAUUAUUGUUUGUUGUUGAGCAUGAAGGACAAGGAGGAGCCUGGGCUGAUGUCUAUGAGUCUAACUUUCCUAUCUGUGGCUAUAAAAUUAAGGACUUCAUAAAGAGGAGCAAAUUUCAG
rnacentral:lncRNA from 1 species